rnacentral:lncRNA from 15 species
AAUGUAAGUUUCUUAACUACUUUUGCUUGAAUGAUUUGCUUUUGUCUGUCUAGGCUGCCUUGUUUUAAACUUGGUCAGUAGUUGAAUAACUAAGCAGAAUUUUGUCCCAGGCAAUGGAUGAGCUGCGCCGCAUCGAGCUCGUCGCCGUCGGACUUUGUCCGUGUUGUCUGCCACGGGAACUUUCCAGUGUUGUCGCCAUCACUGUCUAUAUUCCUCACAGUGAUCUUCAUCAUCACCAUCACUGUUUACAUUUAUGAUGUCUUAUUUAUUCUCCUGUACAGCACUUUGGUUGUUUUUAAAGUGCUUAACAAAUAAAGUUGGAUUGGAUUGGAUAGCACCAACCGCAAAUACACAGAGGAAAUGAAAGAGAGAUGGGCAGACUUUUGUGCUAAGGUGCAGUUCUGUGUGGAAGAAAGCCCUGAAACCACCUUUCCCCUUGGAUGUAUGUGGAGUGCACUCCCAUUACUUUUCCCCUCACCAACUCCACCACCAAAGUGGCUUGGAAAUGCCAGUGAGGCUCUGCUUCAUAUCCUCAAGAAUCCAGCGGACUCACUGGGACAUGGAGACACCACAACUGUCUGGACUCUAGUCACUUUACAACAUACAGAGUAAUGAGGAGGAGGAAGAGGAGGAGGAUGAAGAUGGACCCUCUGUGAGUAUCACUGACUGCUGCUGUGCUCUCAGGGGAAACUCUCUGAGCCAAUCAGCAGCAACCGUCUCAGCUUCUUGCAGUCCGUCGGCGUCCUCGAGGACGAUUGAAUCUCGUUUACACUCAGCCACAGAGAGCGACACUCAGCUAAGCCCCGCCCCUUCCUGUCCCCGGUCUACGUGUCACAACUUAAAGCUCCAAUGUGCACGAUCUAGUGGCAGCAAGCAGGUUGCUGACUGCAACUCCCUCACUUCACCCGAGUGUGUAGCUGUGAAAUGUGUAAAAAAAUGUUACCGUCUGGAUAAUUAUAAUAAUAUAUUAUAAUAUUAAUGUGACACACUGGAGCUUUAAAUUAGCUAAUGUUAGCAGAAUGCAGGAGGUUUGUGAUUGGAGCGUAGAGCUAAAAGGGGGCGGGGCUUAAAACAAUCAAUAAGUCACCUCUUUGUUGAAACGUCGUUCCUCUUUGAGCAGCUUCAGUCUGAACUGUUACAGACGGCAGCCAUGUUGGAAAUCAGAGCUCCAACUGAUCAUGUGAUUAAUAAUAAUUAACUAAUAAUUGACUCUCUCUCUCUCACUCUCUCUCUCACACACACACACACACACACACACACACACACACACACACACACACACACACACACACACACACACACACACACACACACACACACACACACACACACACACACAGGGCCGUAUUACUCAAACUCAUGAGUUUGUUAUAACAGAGACAAACAAUAACUAAACUCUCUCUACUUUAAUGUCUGUUACCGAGCAACCGACAGUUUGAAUGAGAAGAAACAACAAACUGAAAGUAUAGUAUCAUGAACAGAUUGAUCACAGCGAUUGAUCACAGC